UUAGCCAGUUGUAAAAUUAUGGUCAGCGGAAUUUCAACGCGUUUUGUAAGCGUAACUGUUGAGGAACUGUUGAGUAGUAUCAGAAGGCUUGCGGUAUACAAAAGCAUGACAGAAAAAUUCAAGAUGCUAAGAACCCUGUUACCAAAGCCUGUGGAUACCAACAGUCAAGCUGUACCAGCAGUGAGUCUGGAUGACCUUAGAAAACAACCAAGGAAAAAAACGACAUUUAAAUGCAACCAGUGUGGCAAGCAUUUUGGUUCAUCUUGUAAUCUCAAGAAACAUAAAAUAACACAUAUGGAAGUAAAGCCUUUUAAAUGCGAUUACUGCCACAAGACAUUUGCUCAAUCAAUACAGCUUAAAAAUCAUGAGCGAACACACACAGGAGAGAGACCUUUUGCAUGCAGCCACUGUGACAAGAGUUUUCGUCAGACGAGAUGUCUCAAGCGACAUCAAAGAAUACAUACAGGCGAAAGACCAUUUUCGUGUGACCAGUGUGGCAAAUGUUUUACCCGGCGUGAAAUUCUCCAGGUGCAUAAAAGAGCACAUACAGGAGAAAGACCAUAUACGUGUAACCAGUGUGACAAGAGUUUUACUCAACCGUAUGAUCUGAAAAGACAUAUACGAGUACACACAGGAGUACUUCCUUAUAAAUGCCAGGAAUGUGGAAUGUGUUUUAGUCAGUUAGGGUAUCUUAACAGACAUAUCGAAAGGCAUGCGUCAGGAAAGUAUUUUCGAUGUUCACAGUGUGGUCGGUAUUUUAAGAACAGUGUGCGCUUUUCUAGGCAUCAAAAACUGCAUGCUGAAGAAUCGCAGUCACCUCCUGAGGAGUGGGUAACUGCUUCAGUAUAAACUUUUUAGCAACAAUGACAGGACAUAAACAAGUGCCUAUUAGGCCCUUAUAUUCAUUUUGGACUGCGGCAUAUAUUACAGAAAGCAAGAGAACUCUGCAGUUGCUAUUUAAUUAAAGGAGUGCAUGAAUUAUUUAUUUUUCAAGGGCUGUGAAGCUUAAUCUGUGCUUAGAAGGGGCAUUCUCAAUGCUUUGUGUGCUAUGGUACACGUACAUCAUUUUCAUGUGUUUUUCUUGUUGUAAAAAUGCACCCUUGAUGGAACCAAACUCGCUGAAAUGUUUAGGUUACGUAAACUAAGAAUUUAGGUGAUGUGGAUGCUACAAUGGCAAAGUGUCUAUUUCACCAAAUGAGUUCAUUUCGCUGUAACCUCUGUUUGAGUAAAAGUCUCCAUGGGUCUCGUGCAGUUUGCACGGUGUUAGGUGCUUUAGGCGAGAAAUUUCAAAUAAGCAUCUCUUGCUACAUGUAGCGGAGGUUAAGAGUCGCUUUUAAUAUAGUUUAUGUCCAAAUGGGGUUGUAACUGCUUAUUGCCAUUCAUAAAAAGUCAUCUUCAAAGCAUGAAAAUAAAAAAGUUCAAAAGUAACCAAGGUGGAUGCAUCAUGAUCAGUAUGUGCAGAACAGGAAGUUUUGAGAGGUGAGGAAUGACUUUUUUAUUUGAAUCAUAGUUCUGCUUUCCUUUUGAUCAACUUGUGUCUGUAAAGUUUGCUUCAGUGAUGCUAACAGCGAUGCAUAUUAUUUUGUAGAGGAUAUGCAGCCCUUUUAUGCAAUGAAGUGGUUCCAAUGCUGGUCUUUGAUGGCUUGCCUUUACCUAUGAAAUCCCCUGAAAGAGAAGAAAGGUGGAGGUCACUGUAACUGCUACAGUUCUGCCAUCUACUGACUAGUGUUUCAGGAAGUGAACUUGAGCUACAACUGGAUUAACAACAAGGUGUUAGAAAAUAACCCCCCAAAAAAAUCUGCACUGAUUGGUUU
rnacentral:misc_RNA from 1 species